GAUGAACGCUGGCGGCGUGCCUAAUACAUGCAAGUCGAGCGAACAGACGAGUAGCUUGCUCCUCUGACGUUAGCGGCGGACGGGUGAGUAACACGUGGAUAACCUACCUAUAAGACUGGGAUAACUUCGGGAAACCGGAGCUAAUACCGGAUAAUAUAUUGAACCGCAUGGUUCAAUAGUGAAAGACGGCUUUGCUGUCACUUAUAGAUGGAUCCGCGCCGCAUUAGCUAGUUGGUAAGGUAACGGCUUACCAAGGCAACGAUGCGUAGCCGACCUGAGAGGGUGAUCAGCCACACUGGAACUGAGACACGGUCCAGACUCCUACGGGAGGCAGCAGUAGGGAAUCUUCGGCAAUGGGCGAAAGCCUGACGGAGCAACGCCGCGUGAGUGAUGAAGGUCUUCGGAUCGUAAAGCUCUGUUAUUAGGGAAGAACAAAUGUGUAAGUAACUAUGCACGUCUUGACGGUACCUAAUCAGAAAGCCACGGCUAACUACGUG
rnacentral:rRNA from 1 species